UGCCGGUCCUCACCUUUGAAAUGCCGGCAGCUGCGCGCGCUGCGGCGGGCGCGGAGAGGAGCCACCUCGUCACGUGGGGAGGAAAUGCCUUGCCGGCCUCCAAACCUACUGGCUCUUGUUUCUGGGGUUUUAUGGCCAGGAGAGUCGGGUCACUUCUCAAACCCAAGAUCAAAGGGCAGUGCAGGACCCAUCACCCUGGGAAGUUUUCUCCCCUUUCCCGUCUUUCUCCUUCUCACCUUCUCAGAAAGCAUAGCGAAAGGGGCCUGCCACCCUACUGGCUUUUCCUUUUAGGGAAAUUCCAUUUCCUAACGUGUCCUGUUUUGAAAGAGGCCCAUUUAUUGGGUAAUGACGGCAGCCUGUUAGGCAGAAGUCAGGCCAGGAGUAGUCACUUCUAUUAUUUUAUUCAACGAAUGCCUACUGAUCAUCUCCCGGGUGCCAGGCCUGUAGCGGGGGUUCAGUAGUGACCAAGGACUCAGACCCUGCCUUGGCUACCCACAUCACCGAAGAAAUGAGUUAUCAGGCGACAAGGUGACUCCUGGUGCUCAGUACUUGAAAAUACAAGACACCAGAGCGGGAAAUCCUCUCUCAUACUAAGAGUGCACACUUUGCCUCUCGUUAGAACAGGGGUAAUGCCGGGUUUGCAUUUCUUUGGACCUUUUCACUUCAUUUAAUAGUAACACUUGAAACUGGUGUCAAACAUCCUCAUACUUUCCUUCCUUUCUCAUGAAACUGUUCUAGUAUCUGGCUGAUAGCACCGUGUCUACCUUUAUGUAGCUCAGGUUUUGUUGGGUUUUUGUUGUUGUUGUUGUUUGCUUGUUUUUAAUGUGCUAACAUUAUGUUUGGGCUUUUUUGCUUGCUUUUUGAAGUAAGUUUUUAAAAUUCAGAAUUCCAGGAAAGACUUUCUUUUCUCACUUACUAGGUUAACAGAACACUAGCCAUGUGGUUCUAACCUCUGGGGUUUUUAGGCAGCAAAAAUCUCAUCACAUCGCCAGAGAAAUAACCACAAAUUCCCACGACACAUUUCGGGCGGUAUCACAGCUCCUGGCCUGCUUGAGGACUGUGGGAGUGAGUCACUGCUGGAGAUCUGAGCUGGACGCUGCCCGGAGUCCUUCUGCACUGAUAUUCUGUCCCUUUUCCUGUUUCUUCCACAACCUCGCCCUCCUGUCCCCUGGCCUAAGACCUACUGACAUCAAGAAGCUUCAGGAAACCUCAUCCUAUAAAUCAAGUGGUGGCCUACUCAUAGCAAAGUCCUUACAGAUACCUUUAUUUAUUUAUUUAUUUAUUUAAGAGGUGAGGCCUCAGUAUGUUGCCCAGGCGGCACUCAAACAAGCCUGCCGCCUCAGCCUCCCAAGUAGCUUGGACUAUAUAUAUGAGCCACUGGACCUGACUCAGAUAUGUUUAUAUAUUUGCCUCAUUCUGAUGUCGUUUAAAUAUGCCAUGUUCCAAACAUCAUGAACUUGUUCAGAGAGUUUUUAGGGGCCAGAAUGUGGACUGCUAUCCUAUUAAACUCUAUCUUAUUAAACUUGA